GGGAUAGUGGUCUAGUGGUAUGAUUCCUUCUUAGGGUGGAGGAGGUCCGGGGUUCAAUUCCCCGCUGUCCCC
rfam:Chrysochromulina sp. CCMP291 CAF.Contig9285, whole genome shotgun sequence.